rnacentral:rRNA from 1 species
CUACGGGGUGCUCCAGUGGGGAAUAUUGGACAAUGGGGGAAACCCUGAUCCAGCAAUGCCGCGUGUGUGAAGAAGGCCUGCGGGUUGUAAAGCACUUUCGGUUGGGAGGACUGCUUCUAGCACUAAUAUUGUUGGAAGUUGACGUUACCUUCAGAAGAAGCACCGGCUAACUCCGUGCCAGCAGCCGCGGUAAUACGGAGGGGUGCAAGCGUUAAUCGGAAUUACUGGGCGUAAAGCGCGCGUAGGCGGCUAGAUCAGUCGGGUGUGAAAGCCCCGGGCUUAACCUGGGAACUGCAUCCGAUACUGUCUAGCUUGAGUACAGGAGAGGAGAGUGGAAUUCCACAUGUAGCGGUGAAAUGCGUAGAUAUGUGGAGGAACACCAAUGGCGAAGGCAGCUCUCUGGCCUGAUACUGACGCUGAGGUGCGAAAGCGUGGGGAGCAAACAGGAUUAGAUACCCUAGUAGUC